AGGUUGAAGGUGCGGUAACAGGCACUGGAGGACCGAACCCACUGUCUUUGAAAACCCAGGGGAUGACUUGUUGAUCGGAGUGAAAGGCUAAUCAAGUCCGGAGAUAGCUGGUUCUCCUCGAAAACUAUUUAGGUAGUGCCUCGUGUUUGACUACUGGGGGUAAAGCACUGUGUCGGCUAGGGGGUCAUCCCGACUUACCAAACCGAUGCAAACUCUGAAUACCAGUAAGUUUUAUCACGGGAGACAGACGGCGGGUGCUAACGUCCGUCGUCGAGAGGGCAACAACCCAGACCACCAGCUAAGGUCCCUAAUAUCAGUUAAGUGGGAAACGAUGUGGGAAGGCUUAGACAGCUAGGAGGUUGGCUUAGAAGCAGCCACCCUUUAAAGAAAGCGUAAUAGCUCACU
rnacentral:rRNA from 1 species